CUGGCCGCGGCCCGGAACCGCGAGGACGCAGCUCGGAGGCCGCGUCCUGCCUAGCCGGAGCGGGGGAGGGGGCUGAGACUGGGAGCCGCGGCCGGGCGUCGCCAGGCGGCCGAUCGAUCCCCAGGGGCGGGAGCGCUGCAAGCUCCGUUGAACACCUGGGGGGGGUUGUCCUCUCAGGACCGAGGGCCGAGCGGGGAGGGUGCUCAGGGAUCCUGUGUCGGCAGAUGGAGGCUGGUAGGGUCCAAUCUGAAAGGCUGCAACUCGGGCUCCACGAGGGGGUAACGCCAUGAGCACCCCCCCCCCAAUUCUACGUAGUCUGUGUCUGGAUGGGCUAUUUCUGGAACCUGGGCCUGUCCUCCGUGCAACUUCAUCACUCCCUGUGUAGGCUCCCGCCCCACCCCCACUUGCGAUGAUGAAAUCGUGGGACGUGGUCACCCAGGCCAUCUUCGGGCCUCCCUGAAUCCUGAAAUAUAGUGGCUGGAAAAUGUCAGCUGGCUACUCCUGUGCCCGUCUGAGAGGUGCAAAGGCUGCUUCCUGGUGACUACUCCUGGGACCAGAGCCCCCAAGAGCCCGAGGACAAGAGCUGCUAUUGAGAAGCCAAGGAGUGUCACGCCGAGACACAGAGGUCUUGCUACAGGAGCCAGUGUGUGAGAGCGAGAUCUUUCUUGCAAUUCUAAAAGGCAGCUAUGAGCUUGUUAAUACUCAGAGACAUCUGGGGAUGGCUCCCUCCUCCGUUUGGCCAUGUGACUUUUUCAUGUCCUUCUUAUCCCCCCCCAGAGGUACAUUCCUGUUCUUACCAUGCCCUGCCUC